CAAGGAUUCCCCUAGUAACUGCGAGUGAAGCGGGAAAAGCUCAAAUUUAAAAUCUGGCGGUCUUUGGCCGUCCGAGUUGUAGUCUGGAGAAGCGUCUUCCGCGUUGGACCGUGUACAAGUCUCUUGGAACAGAGCGUCAUAGAGGGUGAGAAUCCCGUCUUUGACACGGACUACCAAUGCUUUGUGAUGCGCUCUCAAAGAGUCGCGUUGUUUGGGAAUGCAGCGCAAAAUGGGAGGUGAAUUCCUUCUAAAGCUAAAUAUUGGCGAGAGACCGAUAGCGAACAAGUACCGUGAGGGAAAGAUGAAAAGCACUUUGGAAAGAGAGUUAAACAGUACGUGAAAUUGCUAAAAGGGAAACGCUUGAAGUCAGUCGCGUCGUCCGGAACUCAGCUUUGCUUCGGCUUAGUGCACUUUCCGGUUGACGGGCCAGCAUCGAUUUUGACCGCUGGAAAAGGGCUGGAGGAAUGUGGCACCUUCGGGUGUGUUAUAGCCUUCAGUCGCAUACAGCGGUUGGGAUCGAGGAACGCAGCGCGCCUUAUGGCUGGGGUUCGCCCACAUUCGCGCUUAGGAUGCU
rnacentral:rRNA from 1 species